UACGUAGGGGGCAAGCGUUGUCCGGAAUCAUUGGGCGUAAAGCGCGUGUAGGCGGCUUGGUAAGUCCGCUCUGAAAGUCCGGGGCUCAACCCCGGGAGGCCGGUGGAUACUGUCAAGCUCGAGUCCGGAAGAGGCGAGUGGAAUUCCUGGUGUAGCGGUGAAAUGCGCAGAUAUCAGGAGGAACACCAAUGGCGAAGGCAGCUCGCUGGGACGUGACUGACGCUGAGACACGAAAGCGUGGGGAGCAAACAGG
rnacentral:rRNA from 1 species